rnacentral:rRNA from 1 species
AUUGAACGCUGGCGGCAGGCCUAACACAUGCAAGUCGAACGGUAACAGGAAGAAGCUUGCUUCUUUGCUGACGAGUGGCGGACGGGUGAGUAAUGUCUGGGAAACUGCCUGAUGGAGGGGGAUAACUACUGGAAACGGUAGCUAAUACCGCAUAACGUCGCAAGACCAAAGAGGGGGACCUUCGGGCCUCUUGCCAUCGGAUGUGCCCAGAUGGGAUUAGCUAGUAGGUGGGGUAACGGCUCACCUAGGCGACGAUCCCUAGCUGGUCUGAGAGGAUGACCAGCCACACUGGAACUGAGACACGGUCCAGACUCCUACGGGAGGCAGCAGUGGGGAAUAUUGCACAAUGGGCGCAAGCCUGAUGCAGCCAUGCCGCGUGUAUGAAGAAGGUCUUCGGGUUGUAAAGUACUUUCAGCGGGGAGGAAGGGAGUAAAGUUAAUACCUUUGCUCAUUGACGUUACCCGCAGAAGAAGCACCGGCUAACUCCGUG